rnacentral:lncRNA from 1 species
AAAAGUCUUGCUGAACCUCAGUUUGGAUUUCAUUAUAUUUUGGGACAUAUAGACGAUGUCUGUCACUCUGUGACUUUGUGUCCUUCCAGAGAUGCUGGGACAUAAGGCACUCCACUAAUUGCUGUGAACAUCCACUGGGCAGUUCUGGUGGGCCAUCCCCCGGGCUGGUGGUUGACUGCCCAGGGGUGCAGCACUUUGUUAGGUUCCAUCAUAUUUACUGUGGGUCAGUAAGUACCUGCUCUACUCAGCAGAAUGCUUUUCAAUGUGGCAGGGAGCUUGGUGGCUGUGUCUGAGGACAGGUCCUGUGGCUGUGGAUUCUCUGCAGGCCCAUCUGUGGUGCAGAAAUGUCCCCCCACCCUGGCCAACAUGACUCACCGGGGUCCUUAGUCCUGAAUACAAAGACUUCACUAGUCCUCUGGUUUUUUUAACUUCCGGUGUCCCAGGUCAUCAACAGCAGGUGCCCAUUUCUUUUGCUGAGUGACUGAUGCAGCAUCCAACUGGUGUCCAAACAGUGCCCAGCAUUCCCCAGGUCUGGCCCCAACACCACAUGAUGGGAGCUGUUGCUCUCCGCUUGCUGCCUUAGAGCAAACAAAUUUCUGCCUUGACCCACCUCCUGCUGCCUCCAGUGACCUUCCCGUUCAGCUUCCAGGGGACUUGGGCAACUUCUCAUCCCAGCCUUCUGCAGGGAGCUGCCACAUCUGGGGCCAUCUCUCUGUGUCAAUGUGUGUCCAAGCAGCUUUCCUCCAGCGUGGGCCCCAGGCAGACUGUGGUAAUCCUUCUAGGCUUCGUAGAACUCGGGCAGCUUCCUGCCAUUGCUCCCCCAGUGUGUGGUCAGUGGCAGCAGGAUCCUGAUGGCUUCCCUUUCCUGUGCUCAGAGGCCGACACUGCCUCACUCCUUGGAUGUGAGCUUGAGGUCCUGCUGCCACAGGGCGAGGGUGUUGUGUCUCAACCCAGGUUCCUUGGUGGUCUUUAAAAUGGUAAUACUUUGAGCUCAUGACACAGGUAUGUUUUUAUUUAUUUGUGUCUUAUUUCAUUUCUUUUAGGAACAUUUUGUAGUUUUCAGUAUAUAAGCCCCCUUCUUGGGACAUUGUUUUAAUUGUUGGUAUUAUUUCCAGAAUGCCUUUCUCAGGUUGCUCAUACACUUAUGGAACUGAUUAUCUGUGAAGGGAGAUAGUUUUACUCUUCCUUUCCAAUUUGGGUGCAUCUCUUUUUCACUGUUUCUCCUUACAUAAUUUUCCUGGCUACUGUUUCCAUUGCUGCAUCAAAAGGACCUGGUGAAUGGAGCAGGUCUCAUAUUCCAGUCCUUCUAGGGCCAUUUUUCAUGAGCACUUCUCAGCCUUUCCUCCUCUCUGAUUAGACAGGAAG